AACUGCCGAAAGCGAUGGAAAUCGUUAAGAGACCGAUAUGGAAUAGAAUUGAAGGUUGAUCAACAACCUAGCGGAAGUGCUGCGUCGUUUUUGAAAGACACGGUCACGCCCAGACAGACAACAACAAACAUCGUCUCCCAAACGCCAGAAGUUCUCGGACAAGAACCAGAUAUACUGGAUACUUCCUUUGGAUUCCAAAUAGGCGAGAGUGGGAACAUUAUAAUAGAAGAGCAAGAAACCACUGCCCCAACGCCGGCUAAGAGACAAAAGAAAAAAAACGAUGAGAACGCCGCCUUUAACGAUCUAGUCAACGAAGUAAGUCAGUUUGUGGAUAGUCAAAAAAAAAA